CCUGGGAGGAGGGUGCACUCCACAGGUGGCUCUGCUGUCAAGAUGGGGCUAUUCUGCAGCAGCUUCGCUCACAGGGAGUGGGUGGGGGUGGGGAGUGCACACCUUACACUCCUAAUCCAAGGCAGUGCAGCUGCAUGAAUUCCAGGCAGCUCUGCAAACGGGGCUCAGGGCUUGUGAGAACUGUGGGGUUCUCCUGUAGAAAGGACUAUAGGUGUUUGUCAAGAUAAUGAAGGCUGGUGGGGAUCUGCUUACCUUUUCUCCACAACAGGAAGUCCCUCCUGUCUUCAGGCCAAUCCGAUUUGGGAAAAGCAGAUGGGGCUGUAGAGGCCGGGUGCCUCCAUGCUGCUCUUCCGGACUUCUGUCACUGCAGAUUCAUCCCACUCCCCCACUGUACUCCAGUGCUCUCCCUUCGACACUCCAGUCAAAGUUCAUGUACUUACGUGUUUUGGUUGAUUCUGGCUGUUGGCUGAGACUU
rnacentral:lncRNA from 1 species